rnacentral:rRNA from 1 species
CCUACGGGAGGCAGCAGUGAGGAAUAUUGGUCAAUGGGCGAGAGCCUGAACCAGCCAAGUCGCGUGAGGGAAGACGGUCCUACGGAUUGUAAACCUCUUUUGUCAGGGAGCAAAGAGCGCCACGAGUGGUGCGGCGAGAGUACCUGAAGAAAAAGCAUCGGCUCACUCCUUGCCCGCAGCCGCGGUAAUACGGAGGAUGCGAGCGUUAUUCGGAUUUAUUGGGUUUAAAGGGUGCGCAGGCGGAAGGGGAAAGUCAGCGGUCAAAUUGCGGGGCGAAAACUCUCCGAGCCGUUGAAACUGCUCUUCUAGAGGGGGAGAGAAGUAUGCGGAAUGCGUGGUGUAGCGGUGAA